rnacentral:rRNA from 1 species
CACGUAGGAGGCGAGCGUUGUCCGGAAUCAUUGGGCGUAAAGAGCGCGCAGGCGGCCCGGCAAGUCGGGUGUGAAAUCCCGGGGCUCAACCCCGGGACUGCAUUCGAUACUGUCGGGCUAGAGGUAGGUAGGGGAGAUCGGAAUUCCUGGUGUAGCGGUGAAAUACGCAGAUAUCAGGAGGAACACCGGUGGCGAAGGCGGAUCUCUGGGCCUUACCUGACGCUCAGGCGCGAAAGCUAGGGGAGCGAACAGG